GCGGUGUCGCGGGUCGCCCGCGGCGCCUCCCGCCGCCUUCUGCCGCCCCUCGGGGUUUUGUAUUUAUUUAAGCAGCUGCGGUGGGAAAUCUGCCAGUGUAACCGUUCUUCUGUGGGAGCGGCGGCACUAACGUACGGCAGCUGAGCGCGCGCGGUAGCGGUUUUACCAGUAUGGCUACUUCAAGUCUGAAAGCGCCAGAAAAACCAGUUCCUGCCCUUCCUGGCCCAUGACCACUUGUUCCUGCUCCCAAGCCUUAGUCUACUGCCCCAUCACUUGUGCCAGUGAGGUGACAUUCAAUCACACGUUUACACAAAUGGAAACAUGGCAUUCAUGAGUCACUGAUCUUAAUGUGGGAUUACGAACAAAAACCUAUGCUUGACACCUACCUUUAGUGGUUCUGUGCUUUGGCAGGAAAUCUCCUUGGAUGUUAGUAACCAGCAACUGCAGAUGGGCUGGAACAGCUGAAGAGGGAAAAUCUGAAGUGAUUUUUACACAUAGAUCAUUUUAAAUUGCUGUUGUGUGGGAGUACAAAGGCUGAAUUUUGCCAUUAGUCAUUUCCAGGGCAACAGACUGUGAGGAUGUAUAUUCAAGAUUACAACUUCACCGUUGGAUCAAGCAAUAGCAACUAAAUAGUGAUGGCAAGCACUUACUUAA